UGUGCCAGGAUGUGGGUUAUUUCCACUAUGGGCCAUGUGGUUAUGGGACCAUGUAAAGUGUUAGUAGGCCUUGAUGUAACAGCUGGUCUUAUUACUAUGUGAUCCAAUCUGGAUAUGCCACAGUUUCGAGUGUAAUCUGCUGCGAUGGUCGAGUGGCGACAGCCAUGGAUAGAAGAAGGUUUGUUGGGUCGUGUUACCUGCGACAGGGUUAUGCGAUGGAGAUUGGGUCAGGUUGGACGGCCCAAGAACAAAAAAAAACAAAAUAGGUCAUUCUAGAAGGUUUUAGCCACUGAUAACAAAUAUUUCAAACCCUAUCGCCAAUCCAACACAAGCACGAGGAACUCCCGAACAUAUAGGGAUCUCAGAUGGGAAGCAUCCACUCCAUGUUUUGUAUCAUAGCAAUGUUCCGGUUUGGCCUCGUUGACGGUGGGCUAGGGAUGUGAAUACAGACGGAUCCGAAACACCUUCGGAUUAGGUGGAUGGAUUCGUCAGUAUCGAUGACGGCGAUAACCGUUUGGGUCUUAACGGACUCGGGACCACUGAAGGUGGCAGAAACCCACAUCGGAAUUUAUCUACUGUUGUUGGAGUGUAUCGGAUGACAGAUGCAGAUGGAUCGGGCAAAGAAAGUGCAGUUUGUAUGUAUGACUUGCCCACGUGAGUGUCCAUGAACUCUGUGUGUGUGUCAUAUUUUAAUUUUGUAAUCAGUUGUUAAUUGUAGUAGAGUUAGUCACCAAUUACUAAACAAGUGAAUUUGCACUGUUAAACAAUUUGAUACACAAGUAAUUGGUUUAGGGUUUUUACUUGUUAAGUUGAUAAGUUCCAUUGUUUCAUCUCCUGUUAACAAGUUUCUGGCUUUUCUAUAAGCAUUUAUUCCCGCAAUGGGAGAUAAAAUUUGUUGCUCGAAUGCUGAUAUUGAAUGUUUUAUGAAAUGAUGGUAGUGAUUUUUGAUCGGCUAAAUCAUUCAAUGUUUACAAAGUUUAUAAAGAAAAGUGGCGAAAUUUGCGAGGAACUUUGUGUUUUACAUGUAUGUUCAUGAUCCGACGUGACGAUAAUUUUGAAUGCUCUUGAAUGUCUUCAUCAAACCUAGUCAACGAAUAUUUCUGGCAGAAGACAACUAAAUGAUAGUUCAUGUUAUAAUUUUUGCUCAAUAGAGACCUACAUAUCACUAUCGAAAGUAUGAGCAUUUCACUUGAUGCAUGUAAAGCCCCUGGGUCUUUCUUAUUAACACAAUGGACUCCUGUUACGUGGUAUAUAUUUUAGCAUGAGUUACAUUUAUACAUAUAGAAGUUAAUCUACAGCAAAUAUGAAAUCUUACGGAACAUUUAUUUGGCAGUUAGUGAAGUGAUGGGGGGCAUAAAAAUCAUUAAGAAGUUGAAUCCAUUGAAGAAGUUGGCUUAUUCAGGCAUUGUGGGAAUUCUAAUUCUUUCUUAUGAAUGGUAUGUAACUUUGUUUUAGUAACUUCUUUUCUGUGUAAAAAGUGACUUCGGUUUUUGGUUUCCAAGUCCCUCAGAUGCUGCCAGAGCUCUCACCCUAUGGAAUAAUGCAAAGAGGCCGUUGAAAAACAGUAGCACCUCAAAACCUGUUGACCUAACUGCUUAUUCCGUCCUCUUCUUCGACAUCAUGAAUCGGUUCGUAAUAAUUAUUUGCGUUUCUUUAAUUUGCCUCUUGCUAACAAUUAAUUGCGCACGUGUCGCCGAACACAGUAAUAAGGAUCAGUUUUGGUAAAAUAAAGUUCAGAUGGGAAUUUGGUAUCAUGAAUAUCGUCGGACGUAUCAUCCGGGGAUGGAGUAAAAGUAGAAUGGAGCUAGAAUCACGUGGUACUAGCACGAUUUAACGAAGGUAGGUCCAGACUUCCCGAUUUAUUAGUGUCAAAGCGUUGUUAUUUCGUUUUUUUAAGUGUAACGAUGAAGAUAUGUUUAAAUUCAUU